AAUUUUUGUGACGUAGUGUGCAGUUCCGGUAUUCCUUAUACAGCUGAAGGACACAGUCACAGUGCUGUGUCGGUAAAAAAGGGAUUGCAAAACUGUGUUUUUACUAUGAAGAGUGAUGAGAAUCUUCAGAGGUUGUGUUUCCUACCUAGUGAAGAAUUUAGAGCAUCAGCCAUCAUGGGGUCGUAUGAAUCAAGGCUGUGUCGGACAAAAUAUUCAGCAAAACACUUGGAUUUAUAACCAGAUCAGAAGCAAUGGUACACGGGUCGGUGAAAAAUUAACAACACAAAAUUCAUGUACAGGUAAUUUGCCCAGUGAUACACUAGAAGUAUCAUCAAGUACUCCUGAUACAGACAUUGUUAAUCAUUCUGCGGACCCUGGAUUAAGUGUUUACAUAAAUGAAGAUAGCAGUGACUCUCCAUCUAGUUGUUCCAGGGAUGUGAUACCAGGGAAGGGGAUGCCCCCUGAGCCUCCUGUGGACUGUUGUAUGAGCGGAUGUGCAAACUGUGUGUGGAUCAUGUAUGCAGAUGAAGUGAGGAAAUAUUAUGAGAAAGAUGGAAAUGAUCGUGCCAAAAAGGAAAUAGACAAGAUUGAUAAUCCUUCACUCAAAAUGUUCCUCAAACUUGAACUUGGCCUUUUAUAGAAUUGUUAUACAAAGUCCAUGUUUAUCAUGUGAUCACAAUGAAAAUGCUCACUUUUGAAUGUGAUAUUAUAAAUGUGUUGGAAAUACUUAUACAGAUAGAUAUAGCACACAGCACAAUGAGCUAGUUCUGCAUUAUUUGAGAGAUCUGUCUUUUAAUCAGAUUGGAGUUAUUUUACCUCAUUUGUAAUUUUAUACUUGAUUUAUUGUUGCAUAUCAACUAAUGAACUAUAAAUUGUAAUUGUUGAAAAAUUAGUUGAAUUGUAAAUAUGUCCAAUUAAUUUUUAUUACAUGAAUUUAUGAAAUGGCGUAAUACUGUAUUUCUGCAAACCAAGCAAAUCACCCUUAUCUUUGCCAUCUUAAAGGCAUAGUACUAUAUACAUUAAUCAUAAUGUUUUAUGUACUUUCUCUCUCUCUCUCUCUCUCUCUCUCUCUCUCUCCUGCAGUGUUGCUUAUCAAAAUAAAUAUCUGUUUUUAACAUUUACAACUUAAUAUAAAGAUGUCAGUAUUAAUCUCAAUAAAAUAUCUAUUUUCCUUACAUCAAGAUACAUACUACAGAAUAACUUAGUGUUGACGUGUUACCUGUAUGUAAAUGAUUGUUCAUGAAUACCUCUGAUAGACAGUUUGUUACAGCAGUCUUUGUUUGCAGGUAUUUUUAUUUACAAUAUAUAUGAUAUUCUAUUCAUUCCAUACAAUUUUACAUUUAGUGUGAGUUUCAUUACUCUUUAAGCUGUUACAGGAUUUAAUAUUAUGAAUAAGGAACUAUUUUCCUCAUUUUUAAAUGAAAUAUAAGACAUCAAAAGUAAUUGUGAUAAAUGUGUUGUGUGCAAGUGAUUGCAUUAUAUCAUAUUUUUAUUCUAUCUUGUGAUGCUAGUCAUACAUUUACACAAUAUAAAUUAUGAUUUAUUUGAA